CGGGCGACGCAGGCGUUCUGGUCAGCGACGCGGCCUCCCCGCCGCCCUCGGGCUGUGACGUUCCGGGAAGCCGGCCUUCCGGAGGCGGCGCAGCGGUGCCAAGGGCGCAGGGAGCGGCCAGGCGCAGCAGGCGGCCGCGCGGCGGGGUGCCCGGCCAGGCGCUUCCAGGCGGCGCUGCAGGGUUAAAGCCCAGAAAGGGCCGGGCUGAACGUGUCCUCAGACUGGGAGGUGUCAGACUCCGAUCCUCCUCAUUGCCCCCGCAAGUAUAUCCGGAGGAUUCCUCCAAUCGCUCUCUCCUGGAAGACCACUCCCAGCACCCUACUAGCAUCCCCACUUCCAGCCCCUCCCUGGAGAGGAAGAUGAGGGGGUCCCUGCUGGGACCUUGCCAGCCCCUGUACCAGACAUGGGAGCCUUUGCCCUGCUCUGCCCAGACAGCCUCUGUGGGCUCAGGGAGCCAAAGCAGGGAUCCACUCACAAGGAUUCAGCAGAGCCCAGAUUCUGAAGCUGGAAGGAGAGAUGGAGACAUUGAGGCUCCAGGAGAGGAAGCCACUGCCCCAGGAGCCUAGAUCUGUUGGUUCUUUGCCUCUGCAUCACCUAGUUUCAAAUGACCCAAGCCACCUCCUGCCUCCUGGCCCUUGGGCAUCUUCCCUCCCCUGCUUCAGACCCUGGACCCUUCAGCCGCAGAGCCCAGGGGGUCCCUGUCCCUGUCCCUGUCCUGGGACACCACGCUCAGAUACCCUGGGUGGCUAAAGGAAGCAGGGCUUGGGGCUUUCUGCAGGAACAGCCAUCACACCCCAGAGCUUUCCUAGAGUGGUCGUAGGCUGAGUAGUACCUCCUCCACACCCACCCUGAACACACACACACCCAAACAGGCUGCAGGGUGUGGUUUGGAUAAAAGGAAGACAUGGCUCAAGGUUCCAGGCUCCCUGCUGGUUUUUCAAGGCAAUGAGCUGCCCCUCCCUAUGAGUAUGCCAGCACAAGCUCAUGACCCUGUCCAGCCACAGUGCCCCAGGGGUCCCUGCAGCCACCUUGCUUCUUGCCCAGAACUCAAUUCCAGCCUUCGAGGGACUCAGAGAGCGGGGAUGUUUCUCAGGGAUCUCCCAGUGGAAAUGCUGUCAGCAGCGGCCAUCAGUGGAUGAGGCUCCCCUCCCCCGGGGCUUCCUACUUCAGACUCAGACUCCCAUGUGGCAGAGGAGGGGGGUCCCCUCCCCACUGCACAGUGAGCCACACCGGGCCAUGGACUUGAGGUUCGCCUCCCUUCCCACCCAUCCCCUGCUUGACUGACACCCUUCUGCCUGGAGCAUCAUGGGAAUUAAGGAGUAGGCCACUGCCCUGCCCCUCAGAGAAGAGAGGGGAUCCGAAGAGGAGCUAAGGGCUCCCCGUGGCAUGGCCAUCUCUGGCCCAGGGGAUCUGGGGAAGGUGUGGGUGUGGAGAGUUAGCGGAAGGCACAGUAACUCUGGUUGGUGUGACCCCAAGCGUGAUAGUGGGUUUGGGGGCGUGGCUGGCCCUAUGAGCUCAUGGCCUCAGAGGACAGAGACGGCCCCUCCCCUCCAGCUCCAGGGAGGGUGGGAUGGGGUGCAGCUUCCUGUCAAGGACAGACAUGGUCUGAGAGGACCCCAGUCCCUGCCUGGAAGCAAACACUGGUCAGACAGAUACAAGGGACAUUUAGACAACAAAGCCAGCCAUGCUACCAUGAGGACUCAGCCCUCAGCCCUCACCGAGGACAAACCAUGUGGUCAUGGCCACCAGAGAGGAGUGAGGGGGUAGGGGACCUGAGCAGGGAAGGCGCCCAGGUGAAGGCGGGCUUUGCGUAACGGGCAGAAGCUUUAGCAGGGGGGCAGGGGCAGGCAUAGUGUUCGGGUGGGGCACAGCACUGCAGCCCCCCGGAACAGUCAGGUCUGAGGCAGGUCUGGGACAGGAGGGCUCGUGCUGGGAGAUGGGGGAGAUGGGAGGUGGGCCCGGGCCCUCCCUGCCGGAGGGCAUGCCCUUGGUCCCCAGGGUCUGAGGCUGCCCUGCUCUCUGUACUUUUUUUAGAGGAAAGGUGGGGAACUCCAUCUCCAAACUUGGCAUGGUCUCAGCGUUGUCGGAGGACUUUGAGGGAAGGAGGAGGAGAGAAGGACGACGACGACGACGGCCAACGACGACGACAACGCAGGGUGUGUGCUGCGCUGCGGCCCUUGCCUCUGCCCUGCCACUGGCUCCCUGUUGCAGUGCCUGGUCUCCCGCCCUGCCUCUCCCAUCCCUACCCGCAGCCCCAUCCUGCCCAUCUGCGAGGAGCUGUCCCAUAUGUGUGUCCCCUCCACCCGAUCCCAUUCUCCUUCCCUGUUGGUCAGGGCCCAGGUGCUCCUGCUGCCCCAAGGAGCCCGGCGGCAGGAGGCAUGGACGUGGGGGCUGUCGGGCUGGUCUCGAGUGCUCUGGCGCAGCAGGCCUCGGGGUGGGAAGACCUCGCUGCUGCCCCUCGAGAGGGCCCCGCCUUGGUGAGUGCAGCCUGGAGAUGAAGCUGAGGACAGAGGCCACACUGCACCCCCAGCCCAGCCCUGCCCUGCACUGCACCCCUCACACCUUGCCCUCCUUGACAUCCGCCUCUUUGGGGAACCCUCCCUGGCCAGGUUCCCACCAGAAGACCCCCCAAGGCCAGGCCUCAGGCCUCCCCUUCAAGACUGACAGUCUCCCAGGGCCUGUGACAGCCAAGCCCCACUACGCUGUGGCCUCUCAUUGCCCACAACUGCACCAAGAGUUCAGCUCUCUGAGGUGGCCAGGUGCCCCCUGCUAGGGGGCCCUCCCACGGCCCUAGUGCCCGGAACAGUCCCUUUCUCCAAAAUAAAUAUUUUUGUUAGACCAGCAA
ensembl:lncRNA